rnacentral:rRNA from 1 species
UACGUAGGGUGCGAGCGUUGUCCGGAAUUAUUGGGCGUAAAGAGCUUGUAGGCGGUCUGUCGCGUCUGCUGUGAAAAUCCGGGGCUCAACCCCGGACUUGCAGUGGGUACGGGCAGACUAGAGUGUGGUAGGGGAGACUGGAAUUCCUGGUGUAGCGGUGAAAUGCGCAGAUAUCAGGAGGAACACCGAUGGCGAAGGCAGGUCUCUGGGCCUUACCUGACGCUGAGGCGCGAAAGCCAGGGGAGCAAACGGG